rnacentral:pre_miRNA from 1 species
AAUAAGAUCAUUUUUCAGUUUUUUGAUAUAAUAUUUUGACUCUUCGUCUUAUUUGAAAUUUUUUUAUGAUUAAUAUUUUUAUUUUUACUAGAUGAUAAAACAUGAAUAGUACUUUAUGCGUCACUAAUUUUUUUAAGUUUUUGUACAAAUUUUUUAAAUAAAACGAAUGGUCAAAGGUUGAACACGGAAAA